rnacentral:rRNA from 1 species
UGGCGGCAGCUACACAUGCAGUCGAGCGGUAACAGAUCCAGCUUGCUGGAUGCUGACGAGCGGCGGACGGGUGAGUAAUGCAUAGGAAUCUGCCCGAUAGUGGGGGAUAACCUGGGGAAACCCAGGCUAAUACCGCAUACGUCCUACGGGAGAAAGGGGGCUCCGGCUCCCGCUAUGGGAUGAGCCUAUGUCGGAUUAGCUAGUUGGUGAGGUAACGGCUCACCAAGGCCACGAUCCGUAGCUGGUCUGAGAGGAUGAUCAGCCACAUCGGGACUGAGACACGGCCCGAACUCCUACGGGAGGCAGCAGUGGGGAAUAUUGGACAAUGGGGGAAACCCUGAUCCAGCCAUGCCGCGUGUGUGAAGAAGGCCCUCGGGUUGUAAAGCACUUUCAGCGAGGAAGAACGCCUAGCGGUUAAUACCCGCUAGGAAAGACAUCACUCGCAGAAGAAGCACCGGCUAACUCCGUGCCAGCAGCCGCGGUAAUACGGAGGGUGCAAGCGUUAAUCGGAAUUACUGGGCGUAAAGCGCGCGUAGGUGGCUUGAUAAGCCGGUUGUGAAAGCCCCGGGCUCAACCUGGGAACGGCAUCCGGAACUGUCAAGCUAGAGUGCAGGAGAGGAAGGUGGAAUUCCCGGUGUAGCGGUGAAAUGCGUAGAGAUCGGGAGGAAUACCAGUGGCGAAGGCGGCCUUCUGGACUGACACUGACACUGAGGUGCGAAAGCGUGGGUAGCAAACAGGAUUAGAUACCCUGGUAGUCCACGCCGUAAACGAUGUCGACCAGCCGUUGGGUGCCUAGCGCACUUUGUGGCGAAGUUAACGCGAUAAGUCGACCGCCUGGGGAGUACGGCCGCAAGGUUAAAACUCAAAUGAAUUGACGGGGGCCCGCACAAGCGGUGGAGCAUGUGGUUUAAUUCGAUGCAACGCGAAGAACCUUACCUACUCUUGACAUCCUGCGAAUUUGGUAGAGAUACCUUAGUGCCUUCGGG